rnacentral:rRNA from 1 species
UACGUAGGGUGCAAGCGUUGUCCGGAAGAGGCGAGUGGAAUUCCUGGUGUAGCGGUGAAAUGCGCAGAUAUCAGGAGGAACACCAAUGGCGAAGGCAGCUCGCUGGGACGGUACUGACGCUGAGACGCGAAAGCGUGGGGAGCAAACAG